AGAGUUUGAUCCUGGCUCAGAGCGAACGCUGGCGGCGUGCUUAACACAUGCAAGUCGAACGCGCAGCAUUCUGUAGCAAUACAGGGUGUGGGCGCGUGGCGAACGGGUGCGUAACACGUGGAUAACCUUCCUUCAGGUGGGGAAUAACCCAGUGAAAACUGGGCUAAUACCGCAUAACAUGACGAUGGCACAUGCUGUUGUCUUCAAAGGCGCAAGUCGCCAGAAGAGGGAUCCGCGGCCGAUUAGCUUGUUGGCGAGGUAAUGGCUCACCAAGGCAUUGAUCGGUAGCCGGACUGAGAGGUUGGCCGGCCACACUGGAACUGAGACACGGUCCAGACUCCUACGGGAGGCAGCAGUGGGGAAUCUUGCACAAUGGACGAAAGUCUGAUGCAGCAACGCCGCGUGGGGGAGGAAGCUUCUCGGAGUGUAAACCCCUUUCGACCCG
rnacentral:rRNA from 1 species